GACGAACGCUGGCGGCGUGCUUAACACAUGCAAGUCGAACGGAAAGGCCCUGCUUUUGUGGGGUGCUCGAGUUGCGAACGGGUGAGUAACACUUGAGUAACCUACCCUUGACUUUGGGAUAACUUCAUGCAACUGAGGCUAAUACCGGAUAGGAUCUCCUGCUGCAUGGUGGGGGUUGGAAAGUUUCGGCGGUUGGUGAUGGACUCGCGGCUUAUCAGCUUGUUGGUGGGGUAGUCGAUUACCAAGGCUUGGCAGGGUAGCCGGCCUGAGCGGGUGAGCGGCCACAUUGGAACUGAGAUACGGCCCAGACUCCUACGGGAGGCAGCAGUGGGGAAUAUUGCAUAAUGGGCGGAAGCCUGAUGCAGCACAGCCGCGUGCGGGAUGACGGCCUUCGGGUAGUAAACCGCUUUCGCCUGUGACGAAGCGUGAGUGACGGUAAUGGGUAAAGAAGCACCGGCUAACUCCGUG
rnacentral:rRNA from 1 species